GCAGGUAGAGCUCAGUAGCAGAGUGCAUGCUUAGCAUGCAUGAGGUCCUGGGUUCAAUUCCCAGCACCUCCU
rfam:Camelus ferus unplaced genomic scaffold scaffold2254, whole genome shotgun sequence.